AUGCAUAUCAGCAAAACUGGAAGAAGGUUUUCCCAAGCCAUUGCAAAACAAAUGCAAGCUGUGUUACAAAAUUGGUUUGGUUUUAUCAGACUUAAUGCAAAUUUUGGACAGAACAUUAAUGGGGGGUUAAAGGGUUGCAAGGUUACAAAGGAUAUCAACUACAAGGAAUGACUAAGGCUUCAACUCCAGGCUAAUUCCUCUAUCUGUGGCAUUAAUCUUUUGAUUACAUAUUAGGAAAGAAUAUGGCAACUAUAGAGAUGAGUAAUCAAAAAAAGAAUGGGACUUCCGGAACAAAUAACACCGGCAGCACUUGACAAGUCCUGGAUGGCUGCAAAAGAGACCAGACGUCAGCUAGAUGGAGCCAGGGGAUGUAUGGAAGGAAGCCCGGAAGAACUUGACACAUAAAUAAGAAAUUAUUUAUUUAGUUAAACUUUAUUAUUGUUGUGCUCUUCAACAGUUACAAUCAGCAGAAAGCUGGGUGGGAGGGACAUCUUAUGCAGCCUCGCCUUCUUCCUCUUCCUCAUCAAACUCUCCCUCUUCCUCUGCGGUAGCAUCCUGGUAUUGCUGGUACUCAGACACCAAG